rnacentral:rRNA from 1 species
AUUGAACGCUGGCGGCAGGCCUAACACAUGCAAGUCGAACGAGUGGCGGACGGGUGAGUAAUGUCUGUGAAACAGCCUGCAGGCGGGGGAUAACUACUGGAAACGGUAGCUAAUAUCGCAUACCCUAAGAUGUUCCCAGAUGGGAUUAGCUUGUUGGUGGGGUAACGUCUCACCAAGGCGACGAGCCCUAGCUGGUCUGAGAGGAGGACCAGCCACACUGGAACUGAGACACGGUCCAGACUCCUACGGGAGGCAGCAGUGGGGAAUAUUGCACAAUGGGCGCAAGCCUGAUGCAGCCAUGCCGCGUGUGUGAAGAAGGCCUUCGGGUUGUAAAGUACUUUCAGCGGGGAGGCGUUACCCGCAGAAGAAGCACCGGCUAACUCCGUGCCAGCAGCCGCGGUAAUAC